AUCUAGUAGUUCUGGAUUUUCCUUGGAUAACUUGACAAGAUUGAGACGUUCUUCUCGGCUGUCUCGACCUCUGAAUAAAGCUUGCUCUGUUUUGUUUUCCCAGGAUGGGCCUACGAGCAAUGAGUGAAAGGAGAUCAUUUGUGACUCCACGUAGGGUUUCAAGAGUCGAGUGGGUUACAUCAUAUGUUGGAAGGACUAUAUCUCUUGAAUCCAAAGAGCCACACCAUGAAAUGACAGAGGUGUGAGCAAGAGCCCCAUAGAGCAUGAGAAAAAGCCCUUAUUUCAUAGACUUCUAAUCAAAACAGGUUCUGUCCUGUGUCAUAGUUUCAUGGCUGCUGGCAAAGGUGCA